GCUGCCCCAGCGGCGCUCGCACCAUCCACCCUUGAAAUUGCCGUAGAAGACAUGGUCUUGCUCUGUCACCAGGCUGGAGUACAGCGGCUGAUCAUAGCUCCCUGCAGCCUCUGCCUCCUGGGCUGAAGCUAUCCUCCUACAUCAGCCUCCUGAGUAGCUGGGAUUACAGAGAGACAGAAACUGAAAACCAUGGUUUCAGGCUGCUAAAAACCUAACAUGAAACAAAACAGAAGAACAACAACAACAAAAUAA
rnacentral:lncRNA from 1 species